GGGAGGGUGGUCUAGCUUGGUAUGAUACGCGGCUGGGGGCCGCGUGGUCGGGGGUUCGAAUCCCUCCUCUCCCA
rnacentral:tRNA from 1 species